rnacentral:rRNA from 1 species
GGGCCCGCACAAGCGGUGGAGCAUGUGGUUUAAUUCGAUGAUACGCGAGGAACCUUACCAGGGCUUAAAUGUAAGUUGCAUUAGUUAGAGAUAGCUAUUUCUUCGGACCACUUACAAGGUGCUGCAUGGUUGUCGUCAGCUCGUGCCGUGAGGUGUCAGGUUAAGUCCUAUAACGAGCGCAACCCCUGUUGUUAGUUGCCAGCGAGUCAUGUCGGGAACUCUAACAAGACUGCCGGUGCAAACCGUGAGGAAGGUGGGGAUGACGUCAAAUCAUCACGGCCCUUACGUCCUGGCUACACACGUGCUACAAUGGUCGGUACAGAGAGCAGCCACUACGCGGUGAAUAUGU